ACUACGGGAGGCAGCAGUGGGGAAUAUUUGGCAAUGUGCGCAAGCCUGACCCAGCAACGCCGCGUGAAGGAAGAAGGCUUUCGGGUUGUAAACUUCUUUUAUUGAGGACGAAACAAAUGACGGUACUCACUGAAUAAUCCACGGCUAACUACGUGCCAGCAGCCGCGGUAAUACGUAGGUGGCAAGCGUUAUCCGGAUUUACUGGGUGUAAAUGGCGUGGAGGCGGGACUGCAAGUCAGAUGUGAAACCCAUGGGCUCAACCCAUGGCCUGCAUUGGACACUGUAGGUCUUGAGUGAUGGAGAGGCAGGCGGAAUGCAGGGUGUAGCGGUGAAAUGCGGAGAUAUACGGAGGAACACCAGUGGCGAAGGCGGCCUGCUGGACAUUAACUGACGCUGAGGCGCGAAAGCGUGGGGAGCAAACAGGAUUAGAUACCCUUGUAGUC
rnacentral:rRNA from 1 species